rnacentral:rRNA from 1 species
UUCAACGGCCGCGGUAUUUUAACCGUGCGAAGGUAGCGUAAUCACCUGUCUUUUAAAUGAAGACCUGUAUGAAUGGCAUAACGAGGGCUCAACUGUCUCCUCCUCUCAGUCAAUGAAAUUGAUCUCCCCGUGCAGAAGCGGGGCUUCCACCAUAAGACGAGAAGACCCUAUGAAGCUUUAGACACUAAGUACCCACACUUAAAACUCCCUCCCACCGGGAGAUAUUGAAACCUCUUACCUUACUCGUCUUUGGUUGGGGUGACCAUGGCGGAAACUAGCCUCCAAGAGGACCGAGGACAUUGUCUAUUGCAGCCAAGGCCUACACUCCUAAGCAACAGAACUUCUGACUAAAAUGAUCCGACCCCCGUCGAUCCGCGAACCAAGUUACCCUAGGGAUAACAGCGCAAUCC